GAUGAACGCUGGCGGCGUGCCUAAUACAUGCAAGUCGAGCGAACAGACGAGGAGCUUGCUCCUCUGACGUUAGCGGCGGACGGGUGAGUAACACGUGGAUACCCUACCUAUAAGACUGGGAUAACUUCGGGAAACCGGAGCUAAUACCGGAUAAUAUAUUGAACCGCAUGGUUCAAUAGUGAAAGACGGUUUUGCUGUCACUUAUAGAUGGAUCCGCGCCGCAUUAGCUAGUUGGUAAGGUAACGGCUUACCAAGGCGACGAUGCGUAGCCGACCUGAGAGGGGGAUCGGCCACACGGGAGCGGAGACGCGGUCCAGACGCCUGCGGGAGGCAGCAGUAGGGAAUCUUCCGCAAUGGGCGAAAGCCUGACGGAGCAACGCCGCGUGAGUGAUGAAGGUCUUCGGAGCGUAAAACUCUGUUAUUAGGUAAGAACAAAUGUGUAAGUAACUAUGCACGUCUUGACGGUACCUAAUCAGAAAGCCACGGCUAACUACGUG
rnacentral:rRNA from 1 species